UCNUUACGNGAGGNCAUCAGUUAGGGAAUUNUUGCGCAAUGGCCGCAANGACUGAAUGCAGCGNNANCGGGUGUAGGNAGGAANCCCUUUCGGGGUGUAAACCACUGUCAGGNGGGAAGANCUUCGUGNNCGNGAACAGCGUUCACGAUUGACGGUACCCCCAGAGGAAGCGCCGGCUAACUCCGUGCCAGCAGCCGCGGUAAGACGGAGGGCGCAAGCGUUGUUCGGAAUCNCUGGGCGUAAAGCGCUGCGCAGGCGGUCCCUUAAGUCCGCCGUGAAACUCUUGGGGCUCAACCCCGNACUUNCGUCGGAUACUGNGGGACUGGAGACUNGUAGAGGCUAGCGGAAUUCUUGGUGUAGCGGUGGAAUGCGUAGAUAUCAGGAAGAACACCGGUAGCGAAGGCGGCUAGCUGGCCCAGUUCUGACGCUCAUGANCGAAAGCGUGGGGAGCAUACAGGAUUAGAUACCCUGGUAGUCCACGCCGUAAACGAUGNGCACUAGAUGCCGGGUCUAUAGANGNAUUCGGUGUCGCAGCUAACGCAUUAAGUUCCCCGCCUGGGGAGUACGGNCGCAAGGCUGAAACUCAAAGGAAUUGACGGGGAGU
rnacentral:rRNA from 1 species